AUGGAGCGAUGUCCUGACUGCCCACGCAACGCGCCACUGAUAUGGUUGACUUUGAAGGAGGUCAAGAAUGGCAACUAUGGGCGCGAGUUCGUGAAACGCGAGAGCAAGCCAGAGGGGCAGAUCGUGAAGAAAUGCAGACAUUUUGAAUGGCUGGAUGACUAUGUUAAGCGGAUUCAAUUCAAUGGGGCCCCAACCCGGGAGCUCAAUCUGCCGUCAGCAACAACAAAUUUGGUCUCUGAAAGUGCUACUCUCACAGUUGGGGAUGCAGAUCUGAAGGGGGAAAUAAAGAAGAUGAACAAGAACUUGAAGCAGAUGAUUCAAUUGAACAAGUAG
rnacentral:rRNA from 1 species